rnacentral:misc_RNA from 1 species
UUUUAAUCAUUAAUUUGUAUACUCAUCAGUAAGAAUAAACUUACUGACUCGUAAUUAUUGAAAUUCAAUAUCAGACAACAUUGUUCAUGUUAUAUUUAUAAAAAUGGGCAUCCGAAGACACCACAAGUUUUAAGUUAGAUUCGCGGGACGCAAAAGUCAGAUCCAAGUCGUGAGACUCUUUUCCUUCUUUUGUUUUUGCUAUCAUAUAUUUUAUCCCGAAAGAUACACUAUAUGAUAGUAAAAGAGGUGUGGUAAUGAUCCUUCCGCAGGUUCACCUACGGAAA